rnacentral:lncRNA from 1 species
GCUCAUUGACGACCAAAGCCAGAUCGGGGCUAGAUCGAUCCACACCACGAUCCCUCCCUCACUGCUCGCUCCCCAUGCCCAAAUCGAACUCCACCACGAUCCAUCCAGAUCGCCAAAUCAGCCCCCUAAGCGGGUCCUCAUGAGAGCUCUACUGAAACAAUAGCGAAAACGACAUUCAAGUGCAAAAAAAAACUGAAAAAGGUUCAGCGACUAAGACAGAGCUCUACUGCUAGUUUGAAUCAAUGCACAUGUCAAUCUUGUACAAGUUUAAGCAAGCUGCAUGGUGGUUUGGACUGACCAAUCCUCUAGUGGUAGAAACCAACGAUCUGUCUCAGAAGGUUCCCUGCUACUGCGUGACAACAGCAGCGCUGUCGACGGUCCCCUCCUCUUCCACACCCACCACCAACCUCAAUCUGCCAAACACGGCAUUCUGCUCUGACUAUUGGAUCGAUACCACGUACCGUGAUCGAUCCUCAAUACAACAGUUCCUCGCCAAGUUACAGCAACGCCGCGCCGCGCGUGGCGUGCUUUGUGCUCGGCAGCAUUUGGACCCCAUCAUGCAAACAAGGUUGCCAAAACUAAGGUUGGAUCCUCCCCAGAGUAACAUAGAUAGAUAGCUACUGUAUAAGGAACAAAAGAAGAGAAGCUGACUGACCGUAGCCGAGGAGGAUGGCAUUGAGCGACGCGAAGAGCGCGCAGGUGAAGACGUACCGCUUGGCCGUCUUCCGCCGGCGGCUCCCCGCCUCGGCCCUGCGCUCCCACUCCGGCUCGUCCAGCUCCUCCUCUUCCUCCUCCGGCUCCACCCUCCGAUACUCGCUGCCGCCCUUCGCCGCCACCGG